rnacentral:lncRNA from 1 species
AAGGGCCAUUAACCCUUUCUCUGCCGGGCACACUCAGUCCCCACGCCCCACACCUAUUGUCUCCUGUGCUAGAAGCUUUGCAGAAAACCUGGAAAGUAUUUGCCAAGUCCUAAUUGCUGAAUAUAAUGAAUUGGAACUAGAUGCGAAAAUAGAGCAGGACCUCUCCCCUUGAUGAGUUUUUAUUCCAGCCAUAUAAUUCUCAAUAAAACUUUUCCUGGGCUGGAUAGCAAAGGACACCUUUGGUUACCUGAAUGAACAGGUACAGGGGAAAUUAUUUGGGGGAGGGAAAAAGGAGAGAAAAGCAAGGAGAGAGAGUGUGAGUGUAAGAGAAAGCGAAGAAGCCACUCUUGAGAAAAGCUUGCCAUAAAGGAGCUAAACCCACCUGAAAUUCCUACCCACGGACACCCCUUCUCACUUCAGACUCACAUCCCCACUCAAAAUGAGAAAAUUAGAAAAGGAGGAUGGAGGACGAGCACACCAAAAAGGGAUAAAAAGAGAGAAAAGGGGAGGAAAAAAAACCUACCUGCGAAGUCUUGUUUGUAGUUUUGGCCAGAAAUGGUGAGAAGAAAAAGCAUGAAGAAGCCGCGAAGUGUGGGGGAGAAAAAGGUGGAAGCGAAGAAACAGCUCCCGGAGCAAACUGUACAAAAACCUCGCCAAGAGUGUCGGGAGGCAGGACCGUUAUUCCUGCAGAGCAGGAGAGAGACGAGAGACCCUGAAACACGCGCCACCUAUCUUUGUGGGGAGGGAUAAUUGAAGCGCCCUGAGCGUGAGCAUCAUGUGAAAACGUGAUCGCCAAGUUUCUCUCUGGGAAAGGAUCUGGGAUAGAUUAUACCUUGAAGUCUCCGCAAACGCUUUAGUGGAAGA